UCCGGCUUAACGCCGGCGGUCUCACUAGAGUCCCCGGCUUUACCCGCUGGCAACUAGUGACAAGGGUUUCGCUCGUUUAGGGACUUAACCCGACACUUCACAGCACGAGCUGACGACAGCCAUGCAGCACCUGUAGCAUUCGCCCUUGCGGGCCAUCGGCUUUCACCGAAUGAACAUGCCAUGUCAAGACUAGGAUAAGGUUCUUCGCGUAGCCUCGAAUUAAGCCACAUCCUCCACCGCUUGUGUGAGCCCCCGUUAAUUCCUUUGAGUUCCAGCCUUGCGACCAUACUCCCCAGGCGGAGCACUUAACACUUUCGCUUCGGCUGGAGGGCUAUGGAGGACCCUCCAACCCAGUGCUCAUCGUUUACGGCUAGGACUAC
rnacentral:misc_RNA from 1 species